GAUGAACGCUGGCGGCGUGCCUAAUACAUGCAAGUCGAGCGAACAGACGAGGAGCUUGCUCCUCUGACGUUAGCGGCGGACGGGUGAGUAACACGUGGAUAACCUACCUAUAAGACUGGGAUAACUUCGGGAAACCGGAGCUAAUACCGGAUAAUAUAUUGAACCGCAUGGUGCAAUAGUGAAAGACGGUUUUGCUGUCACUUAUAGAUGGUUCCGCGCCGCAUUAGCUAGUUGGUAAGGUAACGGCUUACCAAGGCGACGAUGCGUAGCCGACCUGAGAGGGUGAUCGGCCACACUGGAACUGAGACACGGUCCAGACUCCUACGGGAGGCAGCAGUAGGGAAUCUUCCGCAAUGGGCGAAAGCCUGACGGAGCAACGCCGCGUGAGUGAUGAAGGUCUUCGGAUCGUAAAACUCUGUUAUUAGGGAAGAACAAAUGUGUAAGUAACUAUGCACGUCUUGACGGUACCUAAUCAGAAAGCCACGGCUAACUACGUG
rnacentral:rRNA from 1 species